rnacentral:lncRNA from 1 species
AAUCUCAGAACUCCCCAGUGAGUUAAGGAAAAUGGCCACUUACCGUAAGCCCGUUGUCCUUUCUCAGUCCAGGACUGUGUUCCUUAAAUAUGUCAUAGAGGAAGAAUGUCUGUCCUCAGCAGCCUGGUCCCGUCUCAGACUUUCCAGAGAUUAAGUUGCCUGUGGUAGGAACACUCCCGGCUGUGGCACUUAACCACCGCAGAACGUGAUGGAGCGACUGAGUGGGAUGCAGAGAAGCUGGAAUUUUUCGCUGGCAUCCUAACUUUACAGUAAAAGUGAUGUCGCUUGAGAGAAGGUGGUACCCUCGGUGCCGGCUUGCACACUAGCUGAAGUAACGGGUGCCAGCUGAGACAUUUCUGCAGACCGAAAACCUUAUUGUGCCCAGAGAAAAACUGUUUAGAAUCCCGUUAUCACGGUCUCUAAUUUUGAUCUCUGCAGCGGAAUGUUUUAGGGCACUUGGCUUCAAAACUGAAGAAAUCCGCAUUUCGAUAGGCAGUCUCUACCCAAACCCUUUUCAUUUUUUAAGGCAUAUGUGUUUGUUUGUUUGUUUGUUUGUUUGUUUUCAGGAUCAAGAAGUCUGAGCUAGCUUUAAGCAGCAAACUGAUUUAUAUAUGCAAUUUUAGGAUGCAGUAAGAUGGAGGAUAGCCUUCUUAUGUGUGAGACGCUUUUACUGCACAUGUUCUGUUCGGAGAAUAGCUUUGCGUACUAAGUGCAGGUUGAUUUUUUUUUUUUUUUGGUAAAAUGAAUUAUGUUAAACAAUAUGUUCAGACACUUUCUGCCAUGGCCAAAAAGUAUGUAUGGAAGUCUGUUUGUAUUUGUCUGUGAGAGGAUGCUGAUGUUUUACCUGAGGUCUCUGUGAUACUUUCGUUACCUAUGCAUUCUUUAUAUCCGUGGUUCGGUAAACAGGCAGCCAUGUUCACGAUGCCUUGUGUGUCUUAUCUUUUUUUUUUUUUUUUAAUUAACCUGUUAAAUACAGCUUGAAAUAUUUUUAUUUUAUUUAUUCUAUUUUUACUGAAAUAUACUGCAUUAUUGUGUUGCUGUAUUAUCUUUACUGGGUAUGAUGUCCUUGUAUCCAGGUCUUAAAGUAACUCAGUGAACUAUAUCCAUCGCCUGAAAGGUGGUUUGGUGAUGGUUUGCAGUCACAUUUCUGUUGGAAUAUGUAGAAGGUAAAAUGCUUAAAGUUCCUCUUAUUUUUUGAAAGCAGAUAGAUAGAUGCACCCUUACCACCUUAUCUGCGUGCCCCUUGGAAGCAUCUAGGGGGCAGCCGACAUGCCGUCUGGCGAAGACCUCUACUUUGUAGACUAAGGCACUGUGCGGUGCUUCGUUUUUAUAUCUUCACAACACGUGUGAUUUCAUCAAAAAUAUACACAGAGCCACAUGCCCUUCGUCUCUGCCUGGACUCAAGGCCACCCAUAGCUAACUAGAGCCACUGUUUUGUUUAUUUGUCUGUCUGUCUUACUGCACGAAGGGACAUUAGGCCCACUUCCAUUAAAGCAAAUUCUUGGUGAUACAACUGUUGGCACUGCUAAUUUUUUUUCUUUUUUUUUUUAAUCCACAUUAGGUGUUUAAGAAGGACACAUAACAAACUACUCAAAACUGGGCCUCUUAACUUGCAGCCCCCAAAACUCCCCUGAGUGUGUGGCACAUUCGCUUUAUGAACAUUGCAACACAAGACUCCAGAAACCACGUCUCCCUGACAUCAGCACAGUUUAAUGAAACCAAAAGCUCUCUAGUUGGCCCAGUUUAACCUAACAUCUGAUGUGUUUACAGCCAGUUAAAAAAAAAAAGUAAUUGGACCUGUUUCAGCAUGCUGGCAGUGUGGCCCAGUGGCACGGCUCUUGUACAACAUGCAGGGAUCUGUGUUUAGUCCCUGAAAAGUGUCAGGGGAAAGGUUGGCACUGCAAGGCGGUGAAGACAUCGCCAGGCAGCCACAUCGGCCACUUCCUCCUGGAAAGACAUCUUGUUUCUUUGUGUUGCCAUUUGCUGUUGACUGUGUUUACACAUUUUCAUGUAAAAUGUCCUGGGAAUAAAUGUAACUGCAUAAAAUCUUUGACUCCUUGAUCUGACAGCAUAUAUAAGAAACAAAUACAAAUUUAAUGUCUCUGCAGUAAUUUUAUUUUCUGUAUUAUUCUUACUUCAAAUUAAACCUUUAAAAAAAUCACCUUAGUAAUGGGAGGUUCUGCUUUCGUUAGUGUUUGUGUCUUCCCACCUAUUAAGAACUUGGAAGUGGUUCCUUGAACGUUUUUAGUCAGUACAGUGAAGUGGCAUUCUGAACACACAAUCGCAUCUUGUCAGCAGCUGGAAUUUUUUUGUUAAGCAGUCUUUUAAGAUUAAGGCAUUUCAGCAUGCACACACACACACACACACACACACACACACACACACACACACACACACACAGAGUCAGCCUUUCAUUCUUCUAAGAUUGAGGAACAGAGACGGGGAGCCAUUAACUCCAAAAUGAAAGGUGAUAACUCUGUCAUUUGGGCUCUUUUAACUCCCUGACAUGUAGGAGACAAAUAAAAGUGAGUACCC